GCCUGCUCUCUGCUGUGCCGCCCUGAGCAGCGUGAGAGGACCGGCUCACAGUGAGGGACUUACUGGCACCCCGGGUUGAGGUUUGCUACCAUCUCCAAAGUGAGCUCCCCGCGAGGCGCCGGGGCCUUCGCUGACGGGGCCCCAGCCUGGCAGAUGCGGUGAGGGGAGCAGGGGCUUCCCCGGGGUGGGGGGGGAAGGGAGGGUGGAGUUCCUGGCAGAGCUGGGCAAUUCUCCAUGUUCUCCCGGCUCCAUCUCGCUGUCCUCCCACCGGCCUCUAAUCUCCUCCAGCUCCUUCUGCUCCUUCCUCCCCGGAGAGGCACAGACAUCCUCCCCCUCAUCGUCCCUUUGUCUUGAUCUCUGAAUCACCAGGAAGGGGCCGAAGAGCUUCAUGUCCUCGUUUACAGAAUUUGGCACCUCUUGGCAGCGUCACCAGAAACGCUAGUGCGUCAGGCAAGGGGCCUUCAAGAGGAAGGGAGAGUGAUCGCCUGGAGGCAGGGCUCCGGGAGCCCAUGUGAGGGCUCAGAAACUGAGGCACUCAGAAACCGCUGCUCACGUGCCCCUCCUGGCCUGGCUUGGCUCUCUGACGGAAAGGAGCUCAGAUUCCCCCGGAAGGCGUCCCACUUCCACCCCGGCACCUCCAGGCCUCGGACGACCUGAUGGAGCAGGCUCCAGCCCCUGCUGCCUCAGUUUCCCCGCCUGUGGCUGCUCUCUGGACACGCUGUCCUAACGGAGAAGGCGAGGAAGGACGAAGCAGUUCAUCCACUCAAUCAAUGGUUCGUUCAUCCGUUCGAUCAAUCGCUCGAUCACUCAGCGUUCCUCGCGCUCCUGCUGGGCGGGUGGUGAGCUGAAGCAGGAGCAGACGGCCCUGCCCGCCAAUGCUCACGGUCCAGGGCAGCCUGCAGGCUUCGGUUUCCAUCACUGUUUGAGCAGAAAUGUCCCCGUGAAAGGGUCGGCCACUGAGCAGAGCAGGACCGAGUGUUGGGGCCACUCUACUCAGCCCUCGAUGCCCAAGGACACAUCUCCGUUUUUGUUUAUUUACGUGACCUUUGUGCCCCUGCCUAGUGCCCAGAGGAGUUUGAGGCCUUACGUAAAAGGCAAAGAAAGAUGAAACCCUGAACAGCACGCAGACGAGCCGGCAGACAGAUGCACCUCAUGGACCACAAAUCUGCCUGCCACCGGCCGUCCCUCGCUCCCCUCCCCAUCCCAGAGAGGACGGUGCAGGGAGAGGCGCCGCCGCUGACCGAUUCCCAGACCCCUCCCUGCUGACAGGGGCUGCCUGGCAGGGACCUUUGAUCCCUUCAUGGCGAGCCAGGGUGUCUGCGCUUGAAAGAACGCCUGUGCACAUGGGAGGGCGGGAAAGAGCCAGACAGAGCCAGCAUGCAGAGCCGUGCCCCCGGGAGGGAAAGCAAGGCUCAUGAGCCUUGCUGAAGCCACCCGGCCGCAGGAACUCUCCAGACCUUUCUGGAAUGCUCACGAGGCACCCACGAUGGGUGGGGUCCUGGGUGUGAUGCUGAGGACGGUCGGUAAGGCAGGUGUGCGACGCAGUACGGUAACCGCUGUGUUGGGCAGCAGCUACCUUGGGGUGGGGGUGUCUUGAAGGCUCAGCUGAGUUCAGAGCCAGGUUGCCCUGGGGCCCUGAGACCCAGCCUGCCCAGCACCUGCUCCCUUCCCCUUUGGUGUGAGCACCCCAAUCCCCUCCUCAGACUCGCUCUUCCCUGGCGUGAGCUCUGGGAUGGACCCGAGUUGGGGGAUGAAGAGGCAAGGGGACCAGCUCUGCGACCUCCUGGGAGAGGAAGUGUCUGCAGGGCAGGGGCAGCGGGGACGGGAAGGGGCACGGGGAGUGGGACAGAUGUGUGUGCUGAGAACGCAGACAGCUACUCCUCUGAAGUCACUUAAGCGUUACAUUUUCACUGUUUCAAACCCAUCGGUCAGGAGCUGCUGCUGGGUCGUAUUAUUAUUUUUCUCCUUCUAAAGGUCAGCGACUCAUUGCAGCUGAUUAUGUCCCUGAACUGUGUAGACAGGCAGACCCUGCUCACCGACGUCCCCAUAUCACCCAGCUCCGGGAGACACGAAAUCUCCCCAAGACUGUCCGUCACUCACUUGCAGCUGGCACCUGGAAAUGAAAGCGACUCUUCCCGUGUUCCCAAUCAAUGUCCGCCUGCCAUCUCUGUCGAUAACUGCCGGGCGGGCCAGUCCUUUCCCUGUUGGGGAGGCACCGGGGUCAGCCUGAAGAUGCUCUGAGGGAAAAGGCGGCCGCUUGGUUCAGAGCCUCCUGGCUGGGCUGGAAUUAAGUUGGCUCUUUCUCUAAUGAAACUGACUCCAGGGGUCCCUGUGUGCCAGAGUCGAUGGCUCUCCGGAGAAGCAAUGAUGACAGUAAUAUCGAGGCCGUGCACACCUGCAGCCUCACGUUCCUCGGUGCUUUCCAGGGGCUUCGAGCCCCGUAGGAAGCAGUGGCUGCUGGGCGCACAGUAGGGGUGCAGUGAAGGCUGAGGGGACAGCCCCCGGCGCUGCCUUCCCCAUUCUUCCGACGGAGACACCGAGGCAUCGAGAGGCUUAGAAACUCACUCGUGGUUCCCGAGGACCUCAUCAUGGUCCUUGUGUUUGCCUGGGGCAGAGGCUGGCCUCUCGUGGGAAUUGACUGGAAGGGUUAGGGGCUCUCCCUGUGCGCAGAGCUCUAAACCGGAGUCCUGAGUCCCAAUCCCCAGGACAGAGAUUCUGACGGGGCCAGCCAGGGGCAGGCACACAUUCCUGUCCGCUUGGCUGUCACCGAGGGGUACGGGGCCUCACAAAGAGAGACUGUCCACCCACGAGCCUGGACAGGUGAGGGGCCAUCCCCUAAGAACGGGGGUGUCUCUUGGGCCACUGCAGCUCAAUACCCCAAAGCAGACCCUGGAUUUGGGAGUUGCUUCCCUUGUUAGCUCAGAUUUGCUGACGGGCGAGGGUGGGAGUGAGCAGAUGCGGCCAUCAGAAAUUGGGUCGGAAAGCCCACCCGGAAGGGUCAGGGGACCUGUUUUCUCUGAGAAGCUGGACAGGGAGCCUCGUGGAGCUGGGAAACAACCCUUUUUGGCAGCCGCACGUGGGAGGGUUGUGCUCGGUGGCCCACGGGUGGGUGCCGGUAGCCUUGCUCUGGGCCCCGGAACUCUGUGUCCCUGAUCUCCACUCCCGAGGCUGUGUGUAGCUCACACCUUGGUGACUGCUCAGCCCCUCACUGAGGCCACAGCCCCCACCCCACAUAGGGUCGGUCCAUCAAAAUCACACCCAAGUUUCUCAAGGACCAUUGUCGGCCGGAAGCAUUCUGUGGUCCUCCAUCAUAACAAUCUUCCUCUGGCAAGCAUCCUUCGAUGCCUGCGUCUCCUUUUCCUCAUAGUUACUAUGGCUUGUCUUAUCUUCCUCCUCCCCCAACCCCAAGUCAAAGGGAGGAGAGAAGAUUUAAAUUGAAUACAAGAUUGGAUUUUUAAACUGGACUGCCCUGAUUGUGACCAGAAAUUGAUGGGAUCUGCCCAAGAUGUCAUUAAAGGAUGCUGUGUUCUGAUCUGGCUGCAAAACCAGAAAACCCGUAAAUAACAUUGGCUAAAACAAGAAAGAAAUUGAUUUUUCUUUCUUGAGAAGAAAUGGCUGGAAGUGGGAGUUGAGGGCUGAUGUGGGAGUUCUGCUCCAUGAAGCUCUCAGGGACCUGGGCUCCUUCCAGUUUUCUACUUCACCAUCCUUAGAAGGUGACCCUUGUCCUCGUGGUCCAAGAUGGCUGCUAGAGCUCCAGUCAUCACAACAAUGUUCUAAGAGGUAGGAUGCAGGAAAGGAAGACUCCUUUUUAAGAAAUAUUCCCAGGCAUAUUCCACAACACUCCCUCUUAUGUCUUAUGGGCCAGAAUUUGGUCACAUGACGAAACCUAGCUAUAAGGAACACUGGGGAGCAUAGUCUUUUAACUGAUGGCAGUGGGCAAUGGAAUUCUAUUACUAAGUAGAAGUAAAGACUGGUAUUGGGGGAAAUAGCAGUUUCUGCUUGAGAUAGGAAAGGACACCUGCCAGAGUUCUUGGAAAGCAGUGAUUGGAACAAUACACCUGCUUCAUGUUUAUUCCCGCGGACACUGGGACAGAGGGGUUUAAUCUACGCUGGGAGGUUAUGAGUAGGGUUCCCAGACAAAAUACAGACAGCCACCUAACAAAUAAUUUUUUAGUGUAAGUAUGUUCUGAAUAUUACACAGGCCAUACUCACACUAAAAAAUUAUUUGUUGUUUGAAGUUCAAAUUGAACUGGGCGUCCUGUGUUUUCCUCUGCUCAGUCUGGCAAUCCUAGUUAUGAAGGGGGCUGGGAAGCCCUGGGGAGGGGGGAAGGGGUCCGCGUGGAGGUGUGCCGACGCUGAGGCAGGGGCGUCGCGGUCCUGAGAGGGGCAUCACCUCGUCCGUCCCUCUCGGAAGCUUGGUGGACUUCUCGCUGGCGCUGCUAUGAAUCCUCAUAGUUCCUCCACAGCCAGAAAUCUCGGAGGCAGCGCGCUCAUCAAACCGGGCGGAUCAAUUACACGGGCCUCCUCUUCCCCGGAGUUAUGUGCUAUUCCUGCUCACGAGUGAUCCGCGGAAAUGUCACAGACUCUGCUGAUGAAUUACAUCUGUAGUUACAUUUUCUUAAGAUUUAUCCUCCUCCUGGUUUCUUAGAGGAUUUGUGGAUAUUUCAUAAAAUUCAUCCCAAGGGAAAAUAACAGGACAAUUAAAAAGCAAAAAACAGAACAAAAGCUUCUUAGAAGAGGGAGAGCGGCGGA